rnacentral:rRNA from 1 species
UACGUAGGGAGCAAGCGUUGUCCGGAAUCAUUGGGCGUAAAGCGCGCGUAGGCGGCCUCAUAAGUCCGUUGUGAAAGUCAAAGGCUCAACCUUUGAAAGCCGAUGGAUACUGUGAGGCUAGAGUCCGGAAGAGGCGAGUGGAAUUCCUGGUGUAGCGGUGGAAUGCGCAGAUAUCAGGAGGAACACCAGCGGCGAAGGCGGCGCUCUGGGCCGGAACUGACGCUGAGGAGCGAAAGCGUGGGUAGCAAACAGG